rnacentral:piRNA from 1 species
UGGUAUGUCAAGGAAAGGUGCUUCAUUC